GAUCUCUUUGAGGCCCGUUAUCGGAAUGAGAACAAUUCAAAUCCUUUAACGAGGAUCUAGCGGAGGGCAAGUCUGGUGCCAGCAGCCGCGGUAAUUCCAGCUCCGCAGGUGUAUAUCUAUGCUGCUGCGGUUAAAAAGCUCGUAGUUGGAUCUGCGUGCUCGGAACUGGUUGGCUCACUGAGUUCAAACUGGUCUCCGGCGCUUUAUUGGCUGGUUUUCCCUUGAUGCUCUUAACCGGGUGUCUUGUGUGGCUAGCACGUUUACUUUGAAAAAAUUAGAGUGCUCAAUACAGGCGUAAAGCCUUGAAUAGUGGUGCAUGGAAUAAUAGAAUAGGACCUCGGCUCUAUUUUGUUGGUUUUCGGAACGCGAGGUAAUGAUUAAGAGGGACAGACGGGGGCAUUCGUAUUGCGACGUUAGAGGUGAAAUUCUUGGAUCGUCGCAAGACGGACGACUGCGAAAGCAUUUGCCAAGAAUGUUUUCAUUAAUCAAGAACGAAAGUUAGAGGUUCGAAGGCGAUCAGAUACCGCCCUAGUUCUAACCGUAAACGAUGCCAACUAGCGAUUCGCAGGCGUUAAACAACGACCUUGCGGGCAGCUUCCCGGAAACGAAAGUGUUCGGGUUCCGGGGGAAGUAUGGUUGCAAAGCUGAAACUUAAAGGAAUUGACGGAAGGGCACCACCAGGAGUGGAGCCUGCGGCUUAAUUUGACACAACACGGGAAAACUCACCCGGCCCGGACACCGUAAGGAUUGACAGAUUGAGAGCUCUUUCUUGAUUCGGUGGGUGGUGGUGCAUGGCCGUUCUUAGUUGGUGGAGCGAUUUGUCUGGUUUAUUCCGAUAACGAACGAGACUCUGGCCUACUAAAUAGUGGGCGGAUUCUUUCUGUCCGCAACACUUCUUAGAGGGACAAGCGGUGUUCAGCCGCACGAGAUUGAGCAAUAACAGGUCUGUGAUGCCCUUAGAUGUCCGGGGCUGCACGCGCGCUACACUGAAGGAAUCAGCGUGCUUUCUGACCUUGCCCGAAAGGGCUGGGUAACCCGAUGAAAAUCCUUCGUGAUUGGGAUAGGGACUUGCAAUUAUUUCCCUUGAACGAGGAAUUCCCAGUAAGUGUGGGUCAUAAGCUCGCGUUGAUUACGUCCCUGCCCUUUGUACACACCGCCCGUCGCUGCCCGGAACUGAGCCGUUUCGAGAAGAACAGGGACCGUCGUUGAAGGGCCUUAACGGGCUUUUCUCUGAUAGAAACUGUU
rnacentral:rRNA from 1 species